CAGGGCUAAACGUAGAGGGGAGCUGUUACCGCCUUAAGGCCUGAGGAGGAAGGGGAGAAAAUACUGUUUGGGGGCCUGGUGGCAGCUGGAGCAGGGAGGAGGACCAUGAGGGUGAAACCAUAGUCAUGGAAGGAUGUUGUCACUGCCAGGACCAAGGCACCAAGAUUGUGUGUUAAUCACUGAGUUCGAGUGAAGACCCUCAAGAAUUCCACUGACGACUGCAUCAUCAAAGGGAACCGAGCCCUGCCCAGGGACAGGGUUGUUUUCCUCUUCCUCGUCCUUUGGAGAAGCACAGUUGAAGCUUCCCUCCUACACCACAGCCCCCACUCCUUGAGCAUGAAUGUGCUGACCACCCACCGCACCAUGCUUGUAUCUACAACAGCUAUGAGGAAGAAUAUAUAGAUUAAUCGCCUUGCUGCAGGGUGCCAGUUACCCAGUGGCUCUGGCAGACCCAGUCAAUGGAUCCUUUAGUGUGGCCUUCAUCAGUAGAGCUGCCACUGCUAGCACCCAAAAGGUAGCACUAAUAUGCAUGUGUCACCUGAAAAUUACAAUGUAAACAGUGGGGCAACACAUGUAUAGGAAGGUAAAUUUUAAUUAAAAGUCUGUUCUCCAACU